GAUGAACGCUGGCGGCGUGCCUAAUACAUGCAAGUCGAGCGAACGGACGAGAAGCUUGCUUUUCUGAUGUUAGCGGCGGACGGGUGAGUAACACGUGGAUAACCUACCUAUAAGACUGGGAUAACUUCGGGAAACCGGAGCUAAUACCGGAUAAUAUUUUGAACCGCAUGGUUCAAAAGUGAAAGACGGUCUUGCUGUCACUUAUAGAUGGAUCCGCGCUGCAUUAGCUAGUUGGUAAGGUAACGGCUUACCAAGGCAACGAUGCAUAGCCGACCUGAGAGGGUGAUCGGCCACACUGGAACUGAGACACGGUCCAGACUCCUACGGGAGGCAGCAGUAGGGAAUCUUCCGCAAUGGGCGAAAGCCUGACGGAGCAACGCCGCGUGAGUGAUGAAGGUCUUCGGAUCGUAACACUCUGUUAUUAGGGAAGAACAUAUGUGUAAGUAACUGUGCACAUCUUGACGGUACCUAAUCAGAAAGCCACGGCUAACUACGUG
rnacentral:rRNA from 1 species